rnacentral:tRNA from 7 species
CGCGGGGUGGAGCAGCCUGGUAGCUCGUCGGGCUCAUAACCCGAAGGUCGUCGGUUCAAAUCCGGCCCCCGC